CCUACGGGGGGCUGCAGUGAGGAAUAUUGGUCAAUGGGCGGAAGCCUGAACCAGCCAAGUAGCGUGCAGGAUGACGGCCCUACGGGUUGUAAACUGCUUUUAUACGGGAAUAACGCGCCUUACGUGUAGGGCUUUGCAUGUACCGUAUGAAUAAGGACCGGCUAAUUCCGUGCCACCAGCCGCGGUAAUACGGAAGGUCCGGGCGUUAUCCGGAUUUAUUGUGUUUAAAGGGAGCGUAGGCCGCAUGUCAAGCGUGCUGUGAAAUGUCCGGGCUCAACCCGGGCCUUUCAGCGCGGACUGGCGUGCUUGAGUCCGCGGAAAGCAGGCGGAAUUCGUCGUGUAGCGGUGAAAUGCUUAGAUAUGACGAAGAACCCCGAUUGCGAAGGCAGCUUGCUGCAGCGGAACUGACGCUGAUGCUCGAAAGCGCGGGUAUCGAACAGGAUUAGAUACCCUGGUAGUC
rnacentral:rRNA from 1 species